rnacentral:tRNA from 1 species
GCAGUGGUGAUUUAUGGGUAGAAUUCUCACCUUCCAUGCAGGAGACCUGGGUUUGAUUCCCAGCCAAUGCG